ensembl:snRNA U6 U6 spliceosomal RNA
GUGUUCAUUUUGGCAGUACAUAUACUAAAACUGGAAUGAUGCUGAGAAGAUUAGCGUGGCCCCUGCACAAGGAUGACAGGCAAAUUCAUGAAGCACUAAAACUGAAA